AACGAACGCUGGCGGCAUGCCUAACACAUGCAAGUCGAACGAGACCUUCGGGUCUAGUGGCGCACGGGUGCGUAACGCGUGGGAACCUGCCCUUAGGUUCGGAAUAACUCCCCGAAAGGGGUGCUAAUACCGGAUAAUGUCUUCGGACCAAAGAUUUAUCGCCUUUGGAUGGGCCCGCGUUGGAUUAGCUAGUUGGUAGGGUAAAAGCCUACCAAGGCGACGAUCCAUAGCUGGUCUGAGAGGAUGAUCAGCCACACUUGGACUGAGACACGGCCCAGUCGCUGACGGAAGGCCGCAGUAGGGAAUAUGGGACGAUGAGCGAAAGCCUGAUCCAGCAGUGCCUCGUGAGUGAUGAAGGCCUUAGGGUUGUAAAGCUCUUUUAACCGGGAUGAGAGUGACAGUACCGGGGGAAUAAGCGCCGGCUAACUCCGUG
rnacentral:rRNA from 1 species